CACCAGUUACUGUCUCAUUCCAUCUUCUAAACUGGAAAACAGUUAAAUCCAGACUCAUUUUGUGGUGAUGCCUGGGAGGAGCCAGUUGGCAGCAGAGACAGCAUGCAUAAAGUGGGAGAGAGCAUCAGUGCCAGCAGAGAGGAUCACAGCUACUUGCUGAGAAAAGUGUAAGAAAUUCCCAAAACUGUGACUGGGCUUGCAGGAAGCGAUUACCCAAAGCAGGUGGGUGAGAUGAAGGAGAAGUAAAUAACAGCACAACAGGAGGGAAAGGAAAGCGAACUCCAAAACAUCUGAGAGAUUAAACCCAACCCCGCAGAGUCC